CAGGUUUGAGUGAUCUUACCGCAGUUUCUCCAGUUUACAGCGAGGAUCCUCCAGUCCAGCACAGAGACACUUCACUCCCAAAUCUCUUAUUUUAUUCACAGACAGAUCCAGUUCUCUCAGGUGUGAGGGGUUUGAUCUCAGAGCUGAAGUCAGAGCAGAACAACCUUCAUCUGUGACGUCACAAUAACUCAACCUGUAGAGAACAAUGACACACUCUUCACUCUCUCAGAUCAGAUCAGUUUAGCUGUGAAUCCAUUAGUAAAGAGAAAGAACAAAUCAAUGUGUGAUGAAUCACUGGACUGACAUUAAAAACAUAAAAAAAAACAUGAUCAUAAAUAAUUUAAAGCAUCAUUCAAAAAUAAAAAUUAUUUAUUUUACUGUCAGGAUUUUUAACCAAAUACAGGCAUGUGAUUGGAAACAUUAGGCAAGGCAGGUUUAUAUAUAUAGCACAUUUCGUACACAAUAGUAAUUCAAAGUGCUUUACAUAAAAGAAAGUAAAAUAAUAAUGAAGAAAA